UCCAUGUUUUUAGACAUAAGGACUUGAUAUUUGGACGGAUCUUGCAUUACUUGCCAUUGUGCUCAUUCGUACAUGCUUGUGAGGGUCGCUCCCUACAAGCCGGCACUCCGGAGAUGGCCAUCGCGAUACAUAUUCGCCGUGCGGGAUUGGGCGCCGAAGUGGAUUGCCGUGGGAAAGGCUCAUUCCUAGAGUGGGGAUGUUGACUACCACGGGGCCAUUAGGCUCGGCACCGGCCAGACAGCCUACGGGUGGGUCUCAGGGCCAGACAGCCUUCGGGCGGGUCUCUUCAGAUUUGACUUUGAGCAUUCAUCAUGCCAUGUGAACAUUGACUAGAAUAGUAAAUAAUGACAUCUUUACUAUUUGACUUAUGG
rnacentral:lncRNA from 1 species